AUUGAACGCUGGCGGCAGGCCUAACACAUGCAAGUCGAACGGUAACAGGAAGCAGCUUGCUGCUUCGCUGACGAGUGGCGGACGGGUGAGUAAUGUCUGGGAAACUGCCUGAUGGAGGGGGAUAACUACUGGAAACGGUAGCUAAUACCGCAUAACGUCGCAAGACCAAAGAGGGGGACCUUAGGGCCUCUUGCCAUCGGAUGUGCCCAGAUGGGAUUAGCUAGUAGGUGGGGUAACGGCUCACCUAGGCGACGAUCCCUAGCUGGUCUGAGAGGAUGACCAGCCACACUGGAACUGAGACACGGUCCUGACUCCUACGGGAGGCAGCAGUGGGGAAUAUUGCACAAUGGGCGCAAGCCUGAUGCAGCCAUGCCGCGUGUAUGAUGAAGGCCUUCGGGUUGUAAAGUACUUUCAGCGGGGAGGAAGGGAGUAAAGUUAAUACCUUUGCUCAUUGACGUUACCCGCAGAAGAAGCACCGGCUAACUCCGUG
rnacentral:rRNA from 1 species